rnacentral:rRNA from 1 species
UACGGAGGGUGCAAGCGUUAAUCGGAAUUACUGGGCGUAAAGGGUGCGUAAGUGGUUGAAUAAGUUGGCUGUGAAAUUCCUGGGCUUAACCUGGGCUGGUCAGCCAAAACUGUUCGACUUGAGUAUGGGAGAGGGUAGUGGAAUUUCCGGUGUAGCGGUGAAAUGCGUAGAGAUCGGAAGGAACACCAGUGGCGAAGGCGGCUACCUGGCCUAAUACUGACACUGAGGCACGAAAGCGUGGGGAGCAAACAGG